UGAGUAACGCGUGGGUAACCUGCCUAUGCAGGGGGAUAACAGUUAGAAAUGACUGCUAAUACCGCAUAAGCGCACGGGGCCGCAUGGCCGUGUGUGAAAAGAUUUAUCGGCAUAAGAUGGACCCGCGUCUGGAUUAGGUAGUUCGGUGAGGUAACGGCCCACCAAGCCUGCGAUCAGUAGCCGACUUGAGAGAGUGAUCGGCCACAUUGGGACUGAGACACGGCCCAGACUCCUACGGGAGGCAGCAGUAGGGAAUAUUGCACAAUGGGGGAAACCCUGAUGCAGCGACGCCGCGUGAGUGAAGAAGUAUUUCGGUACGUAAAGCUCUAUCAGCAGGGAAGAUAAUGACGGUACCUGACUAAGAAGCCCCGGCUAACUACGUGCCAGCCGCGGC
rnacentral:rRNA from 1 species